ACUGGGAACCCAAACUGGGAUUGGUUCCUCAAACUGGGAACCCAAACUGGGAAUGGUUCCCCCAAACUGGGACCCCAAACUGGGAAUGGACUGGUCCAAACUGGGACCCCAAACUGGGAAUGGUUCCCCCAAACUGGGAACCCAAACUGGGAAUGGUCUGGUCCAAACUGGGACCCCAAACUGGGAAUGGUUCCCCCAAACUGGGACCCCAAACUGGGAAUGGACUGGUCCAAACUGGGACCCCAAACUGGGAAUGGUUCCUCAAACUGGGAACCCAAACUGGGAAUGGCUCCUCAAACUGGGAACCCAAACUGGGAAUGGUUCCUCAAACUGGGAUUGGUUCCUCAAACUGGUUCCCCAAACUGGGACCACUCCCCCCCAAACUGGGAUUGGUUCCUCAAACUGGGACCAGUCCCCCUCAAACUGGGACCCCAAACUGGGAACCCAAACUGGGAUUGGCUUCCCCAAACUGGGAAUGGUCUGGUCCAAACUGGGACCCCAAACUGGGAAUGGUCCCUCAAACUGGGACCCCAACCUGGGACCCCAAACUGGGAUUGGUUUCCCCAAACUGGGAAUGGUCUGGUCCAAACUGGUUCCCCAAACUGGGAUUGGUUCCCCCAAACUGGGACCUCAAACUGGUAAUGGUUCCUCAAACUGGGAUUGGUUCCUCAAACUGGGACCCCAAACUGGGACCCCAAACUGGGAAUGGUCUGGUCCAUACUGGGACCCCAAACUGGGAUUGGCUCCCCCAAACUGGGAUUGGUUCCUCAAACUGGGAACCCAAACUGGGAAUGGUCUGGUCCAAACUGGGAUUGGUUCCCCCAAACUGGGAACCCAAACUGGGAAUGGUCUGGUCCAAACUGGGACCCCAAACUGGGAAUGGUCCCUCAAACUGGGACCUCAAACUGGGAAUGGUCUGGUCCAAACUGGGAACCCAAACUGGGAACCCAAACUGGGAUUGGCUCCCCCAAACCGGGACCAGCUCCCCCCAAACUGGGAANNNNNNNNNNNNNNNNNNNNNNNNNNNNNN
rnacentral:lncRNA from 1 species